rnacentral:rRNA from 1 species
GGUUAAGCGACUAAGCGUACACGGUGGAUGCCCUGGCAGUCAGAGGCGAUGAAGGACGUGCUAAUCUGCGAAAAGCGCCGGCGAGGUGAUAUGAACCUUUGACCCGGCGAUGUCCGAAUGGGGAAACCCAGUGUGUUCCGACACACUAUCGUUAACUGAAUACAUAGGUUAACGAGGCGAACCGGGGGAACUGAAACAUCUAAGUACCCCGAGGAAAAGAAAUCAACCGAGAUUCCCCCAGUAGCGGCGAGCGAACGGGGAGCAGCCCAGAGUCUGAAUCAGCUUGUGUGUUAGUGGAAGCGUCUGGAAAGUCGCACGGUACAGGGUGAAAGUCCCGUACACGAAAGCACACAGGCUGUGAACUCGAAGAGUAGGGCGGGACACGUGGUAUCCUGUCUGAAUAUGGGGGGACCAUCCUCCAAGGCUAAAUACUCCUGACUGACCGAUAGUGAACCAGUACCGUGAGGGAAAGGCGAAAAGAACCCCGGCGAGGGGAGUGAAAAAGAACCUGAAACCGUGUACGUACAAGCAGUGGGAGCCUCUUUUAUGGGGUGACUGCGUACCUUUUGUAUAAUGGGUCAGCGACUUAUAUUCUGUAGCAAGGUUAACCGUAUAGGGGAGCCGAAGGGAAACCGAGUCUUAACUGGGCGUUAAGUUGCAGGGUAUAGACCCGAAACCCGGUGAUCUAGCCAUGGGCAGGUUGAAGGUUGGGUAACACUAACUGGAGGACCGAACCGACUAAUGUUGAAAAAUUAGCGGAUGACUUGUGGCUGGGGGUGAAAGGCCAAUCAAACCGGGAGAUAGCUGGUUCUCCCCGAAAGCUAUUUAGGUAGCGCCUCGUGAACUCAUCUUCGGGGGUAGAGCACUGUUUCGGCUAGGGGGCCAUCCCGGCUUACCAACCCGAUGCAAACUACGAAUACCGAAGAAUGUUAUCACGGGAGACACACGGCGGGUGCUAACGUCCGUCGUGAAGAGGGAAACAACCCAGACCGCCAGCUAAGGUCCCAAAGUCAUGGUUAAGUGGGAAACGAUGUGGGAAGGCACAGACAGCCAGGAUGUUGGCUUAGAAGCAGCCAUCAUUUAAAGAAAGCGUAAUAGCUCACUGGUCGAGUCGGCCUGCGCGGAAGAUGUAACGGGGCUAAACCAUGCACCGAAGCUGCGGCAGCGACGCUUAUGCGUUGUUGGGUAGGGGAGCGUUCUGUAAGCCGUUGAAGGUGUCCUGUGAGGGGUGCUGGAGGUAUCAGAAGUGCGAAUGCUGACAUAAGUAACGAUAAAGCGGGUGAAAAGCCCGCUCGCCGGAAGACCAAGGGUUCCUGUCCAACGUUAAUCGGGGCAGGGUGAGUCGACCCCUAAGGCGAGGCCGAAAGGCGUAGUCGAUGGGAAACAGGUUAAUAUUCCUGUACUUGGUGUUACUGCGAAGGGGGGACGGAGAAGGCUAUGUUAGCCGGGCGACGGUUGUCCCGGUUUAAGCAUGUAGGCGGAGGUUCCAGGUAAAUCCGGUUCCUUGUUAACGCUGAGGUGUGAUGACGAGGCACUACGGUGCUGAAGUAACAAAUGCCCUGCUUCCAGGAAAAGCCUCUAAGCAUCAGGUAACAUCAAAUCGUACCCCAAACCGACACAGGUGGUCAGGUAGAGAAUACCAAGGCGCUUGAGAGAACUCGGGUGAAGGAACUAGGCAAAAUGGUGCCGUAACUUCGGGAGAAGGCACGCUGAUAUGUAGGUGAAGUCCCUGCGGAUGGAGCUGAAAUCAGUCGAAGAUACCAGCUGGCUGCAACUGUUUAUUAAAAACACAGCACUGUGCAAACACGAAAGUGGACGUAUACGGUGUGACGCCUGCCCGGUGCCGGAAGGUUAAUUGAUGGGGUUAGCGGUAACGCGAAGCUCUUGAUCGAAGCCCCGGUAAACGGCGGCCGUAACUAUAACGGUCCUAAGGUAGCGAAAUUCCUUGUCGGGUAAGUUCCGACCUGCACGAAUGGCGUAAUGAUGGCCAGGCUGUCUCCACCCGAGACUCAGUGAAAUUGAACUCGCUGUGAAGAUGCAGUGUACCCGCGGCAAGACGGAAAGACCCCGUGAACCUUUACUAUAGCUUGACACUGAACACUGGUCCUUGAUGUGUAGGAUAGGUGGGAGGCUUUGAAGCGUGGACGCCAGUCUGCGUGGAGCCAACCUUGAAAUACCACCCUUUAAUGGCUGGUGUUCUAACGUAGACCCGUAAUCCGGGUUGCGGACAGUGUCUGGUGGGUAGUUUGACUGGGGCGGUCUCCUCCCAAAGAGUAACGGAGGAGCACGAAGGUUAGCUAAUCCUGGUCGGACAUCAGGAGGUUAGUGCAAUGGCAUAAGCUAGCUUGACUGCGAGAGUGACGGCUCGAGCAGGUGCGAAAGCAGGUCAUAGUGAUCCGGUGGUUCUGAAUGGAAGGGCCAUCGCUCAACGGAUAAAAGGUACUCCGGGGAUAACAGGCUGAUACCGCCCAAGAGUUCAUAUCGACGGCGGUGUUUGGCACCUCGAUGUCGGCUCAUCACAUCCUGGGGCUGAAGUAGGUCCCAAGGGUAUGGCUGUUCGCCAUUUAAAGUGGUACGCGAGCUGGGUUUAGAACGUCGUGAGACAGUUCGGUCCCUAUCUGCCGUGGGCGCUGGAGAAUUGAGGGGGGCUGCUCCUAGUACGAGAGGACCGGAGUGGACGCAUCACUGGUGUUCGGGUUGUCAUGCCAAUGGCACUGCCCGGUAGCUAAAUGCGGAAGAGAUAAGUGCUGAAAGCAUCUAAGCACGAAACUUGCCCCGAGAUGAGUUCUCCCUGAGACUUUAAGUCUCCUGAAGGAACGUUGAAGACUACGACGUUGAUAGGUCGGGUGUGUAAGCGCAGCGAUGCGUUGAGCUAACCGAUACUAAUGAACCGUGAGGCUUAACCUU